rnacentral:rRNA from 1 species
UACGGAGGGGGCUAGCGUUGUUCGGAAUUACUGGGCGUAAAGCGCGCGUAGGCGGCUUUGUAAGUUAGAGGUGAAAGCCCGGAGCUCAACUCCGGAACUGCCUUUAAGACUGCAUCGCUAGAAUCAUGGAGAGGUGAGUGGAAUUCCGAGUGUAGAGGUGAAAUUCGUAGAUAUUCGGAAGAACACCAGUGGCGAAGGCGACUCACUGGACAUGUAUUGACGCUGAGGUGCGAAAGCGUGGGGAGCGAACAGG